GUGCUUGAAAAGUGUUGACGGAGUGAAAAGAGACUGUGUAUUGAACAAAUUAUCUUACUUUCAUUGUAUAAAAGGUUUUCCUCCUGACUUCUUACAUGACCUGUUAGAAGGUGUUGUACCUUUUGAACUCUGUUUGUGUUUGAAAAAAUUAAUUCAACAGAAGUACUUUACAUUGGACUAUUUGAACACUGUCAUACAGCGCUUCCCCUACAAAUUUUCUGACAGUGUUAACCGUCCACAGAGAAUUCCAGAAAAAGUACUUAAAAGUAAAACUAUAGGAGGCAACGGCCAUGAAAAUUGGACCCUUUUGAGGUUGCUGCCUCUGUUCAUAGGGGAUGUUGUUCCUGAAAAUGAUGAUGCAUGGGCUGUAAUUCUGGAACUUAAAGACAUUGUGGAACUUUUGGCAUCCUCCAGUUUUACAGAUGAAAGCUUGUGUUAUCUUGAUGCCAAAAUAAGUGAGCACAGAAAACUAUUACUGACUGUGUUUCCAGGACUGCAACUGAAACCUAAACAUCAUUUUAUUGAACACUACACUCAUUUGAUCCGCUGCUUUGGACCACUGGUAGAGUUCUGGACGUUACGAUUCGAAGCGAAACAUAGUUUCUUCAAAAAAGUGGUUCGUGAUGUCAAUAAUUUCAAAAACAUUCUAUUGACUCUGUCCCUCAGACAUGAACUUAUGUUGGCAUACUACCUGGACACGCCCAACCUGUUUAAACCAACAGUGGAAUUAAAAGGAGUAUCAAAUAUUUCCCUGGACAUUCUGGCCCCCUCUGUCAAACAAGUGAUUGAGAAGAAAUGUAGAACUCUGAGCAGUGUAUCUCUGGCCACAACCGCAUACAUUCACGGGACAAGAUACACCAAGGGAAUGUUCUUGUCAGUUGGAAGCACAAGUGGCCUUCCUGAUUUUUGUAAGAUUAUACAUGUGUUGCUUGUAUGCAACAAGCUAUUUUUUCUUCUGGAACCUUUCUCAGCUUGGUAUCUGGAGCACCUACGAUGUUACGAAGUCUGCAAGAGAGACCCUACUCAACUGACGGUAGCCGAACCUGAAGACCUGAACCACUACAUCCCAUUGUCAGCAUACACCGUGCACGGCCGACUUCUGGUUUCACCGAAGGCAUUUCCUGUACAUUAAGACGUCAACGACAGAGUACAAGACGGUUCAAGUCUGCAAGAGAGACCCUGCUCAACUGACGGUAGCUGAACCACUUACAUCCCCGUUGUCAGCAUACACUGUGCAAGGCUGACUCGUGGUUUCAGGGAUUUCUUGUACAUUAAGUCAGACGUCAACAACAGAGUACAAGACGGUGCUAGUUCAUCCUGUCCAAGAUCAACUCCAUCGAGCUGAAGAAAACCAGCAGUCACAAGUCCACUUAAGAUCUGUCUGCUUGUGUAGGCCUCUCUCAGUUUCAUCAUGCUGCUGCGCAUCAUCUUGAGCGAAAAUGACAUAAGAAAGGUUACCAUUGACACCUUGCCGGAGACUGUUCAUGACUUCUGCUCAAUCCUGAAGACCAAACUGGGACUGGAGGGCGACCUUGUGAUUCAGUAUCAGGACCCCGAGUUCGACAAUGAACUGUGCAAUUUAAGUAGCAUGUCGGAGCUUCAUAAAGAUAAAGCAACUUUGAAAGUGCACACCAAGUCUUCUGAAUACAACACAGACUCAACUCUAGACACGGCAAGCCUGUCAUCAUCUUCCCUCGAGGAUAGCCCCCAUGGUACCCAAACUCGUCAGCUGCCUCAACCAUUCGUCAUUCCUGCUUUUUCUUUUGAUGUUGAGUUGAAACUGAGGCAAGGGAAUGAUGCCUUCCAUAGAGAUGGGAGCCUUCUUGACAUUUCAAAAGACAUGAAAUCGGACAUCUUAGACAAGUUAGCAGAAGCCAUAUAUGCUCACAAUCCCUACCCAUCACGUGAGGACUAUGAUCAUGUGGCCCAAGCUCUCAUCAACAAGCA